CAUGAAUCAGCCUCAUCGGUGAUGGCGGUCACCAAUUCGGCGGCUGCCCAUGAAUCAUCAGCCUCCACGGACCAGUCAUCACGGGUCAUUGCUUCAAAGGCUGCCCAUGAAUCAUCAGCCUCGACCAUAGCAGCGGAGGUCACCAAGUCUGGGGCUGCCCAUGAAUCAUCAGCCUCCACGGACCAGUCAUCACGGGUCAUUGCUUCAAAGGCUGCCCAUGAAUCAACAGCCUCGACCAUAGCAACAGAGGUCACCAAGUCUGGGGCUGCCCAUGAAUCAUCAGCCUCCACGGACCAGUCAUCACGGGUCAUUGCUUCAAAGGCUGCCCAUGAAUCAACAGCCUCGACCAUAGCAACAGAGGUCACCAAGUCUGGGGCUGC